GACGUAGGGUCCGAGCGUUGUCCGGAGUUACUGGGCGUAAAGGGCGCGUAGGCGGCUCUGUGCGUCACCCGUGAAAACCCCCGGCUCAACCGGGGAGGGUCGGGUGAAACGGCGGAGCUGGAGGCAGCGAGAGGCUGGUGGAAUUCCCGGAGUAGUGGUGAAAUGCGUAGAGAUCGGGAGGAACACCGGUGGCGAAGGCGGCCAGCUGGCGCUGACCUGACGCUGAGGCGCGAAGGCGUGGGGAGCGAACGGG
rnacentral:rRNA from 1 species